UGGGGAAUUUUGGACGAUGGGCGAAAGCCUGAUCCAGCCACGCCGCGUGCAGGAUGAAGGCCUUCGGGUUGUAAACUGCUUUUGUACGGAACGAAAAGACUCUGGUUAAUACCUGGGGGUCCAUGACGGUACCGUAAGAAUAAGCACCGGCUAACUACGUGCCAGCAGCCGCGGUAAUACGUAGGGUGCAAGCGUUAAUCGGAAUUACUGGGCGUAAAGCGUGCGCAGGCGGUUAUAUAAGACAGAUGUGAAAUCCCCGGGGCUCAACCUGGGAACUGCAUUUGUGACUGUAUAGCUAGAGUACGGCAGAGGGGGGAUGGAAUUUCCGCGUGUAGCAGUGAAAUGCGUAGAUAUGCGGAGGAACACCGAUGGCGAAGGCAAUCCCCUGGGCCUGUACUGACGCUCAUGCACGAAAGCGUGGGGAGCAAACAGGAUUNGAUACCCUGGUAGUCCACGCCCUAAACGAUGCCAACUGGUUGUUGGGUCUUCACUGACUCAGUAACGAAGCUAACGCGUGAAGUUGACCGCCUGGGGGAGUA
rnacentral:rRNA from 1 species